AUUGCUUCUUGGCCUUUAGGCUAAGAUCAAGUGUAGUAUCUGUUCUUAUCAGUUUAAUAAAAAAAUAGAUUAAAAUAAAGUAAAAUCUUCAAAAAAAGAGGUUUCAGGGCGCCUGGGUGGCUCAGUCGGUUAAGCCUCCGACUUCGGCUCAGGUCAGAUCUCAC
rnacentral:snRNA from 1 species